AUUGCUUCUUGGCCUUUUGGUUAAGAUCAAGUGUAUCUGUUCUUAUCAGUUUACUAUCUGAUAUGUCCUUUAUCCAAGGACAAUAUUAAAUGGAUUUUUGGAGCAGGGAUGUGGAACAGGAGCUUGCUCUGUCCAGUCCACACAUUGGCCUGCUAUUGCAGUACCUUCAGGCAUGGUGCACCCCCU